rnacentral:rRNA from 1 species
AUAGCGUAUAUUAAAGUUGUUGCAGUUAAAAAGCUCGUAGUUGAACUUCAGGCCUUGGCCGGUGGUCCGCCUCACGGCGUGUACUGUCGGCUGGGGCCUUCCCUCUUGGUGAACCCUCAUGCCCUUUACUGGGUGUGGGGGGGAACCAGGACUUUUACUUUGAAAAAAUUAGAGUGUUCAAAGCAGGCCUAUGCCCGAAUACAUUAGCAUGGAAUAAUAAAAUAGGACGUGCGGUUCUAUUUUGUUGGUUUCUAGGAUCGCCGUAAUGAUUAAUAGGGAUAGUUGGGGGCAUUAGUAUUCAGUUGCUAGAGGUGAAAUUCUUGGAUUUACUGAAGACUAACUACUG